UUGAACACCCCUGCUUUAAAUCAUGCAUGCAUAUUGAUUAUGUUCUGUGUCUAUAUUAUUGAAGCAGUGGGUAUAUUAACAAUAAUGGAUUGGCCAUUCACUUCCAUUGAGCUGGAGUCUCUCUACAGGAGACUAUGAGAUACCUGGAGUCUCAGUAUCUUGAGGAGAUCGAGGUCAUGCUUAGGGGUCAGAUACAGGGCCAGGAUCUGUUCUUCGACUGCGUGGAAGCCGAGAUCAAAUUCUACCAGUGAAACAGAGCAAUUGUCGUUGUGAACGUCACUAGUGCUUGCUGAUCUGCCUGGAGAGAGAGAGACAGUCCAAAGUGCACAGGUUCCUGCCUGCUCAAAUCCAUGCCAAACUAAUUGUGAUGUCCAUGCCACACUAACUGUAACUUAAAAAAAACACACUAGAUGUUCAUGUGAGUGGAUCACCAUAAUCAUGUGUAAUUGUCACACAGGGUGGUCAUACGCAUUACAUUAACUGGUUUGUGAUAGAUUACCAAGGAGUGUAUGUGCUGUGGGUAGAUGUGUGAGAGAAGAGAUGUUAGGGAAAACACUCAUUCCUGUAGAUGGGCUCAGCUACCA